rnacentral:rRNA from 1 species
CCUACGGGUGGCAGCAGUGAGGAAUAUUGGUCAAUGGGCGCGAGCCUGAACCAGCCAAGUAGCGUGAGGGAUGACUGCCCUACGGGUUGUAAACUUCUUUUAUCAAGGAAUAAAGUGAGCCACGUGUGCCUUUUUGUAUGUACUUUAUGAAUAAGGCUCGGCUAACUCCGUGCCCGCAGCCGCGGUAAUACGGAGGAUCCGAGCGUUAUCCGGAUUUAUUGGGUUUAAAGGGAGCGUAGAUGGGUUGUUAAGUCCGUUGGGAAAGUCUGCGGCUCAACCGUAAAAUUGCAAUUGAUACUGGCGGCCUUGAGUACAGUUGAGGUAGGCGGAAUUCGUGGUGUAGCGGUGAAAUGCUUAGAUAUCACGAAGAACUCCGAUUGCGAAGGCAGCCUACUAACCUGCCACUGACAUUGAUGCUCGAAAGUGUGGGUAUCAAACAGGAUUAGAUACCCUUGUAGUC